UUUGUUUCAGCACAAGCAUUCUCCGCCAAUGGCCUGCGCGGCUUUUUAGAUUUUGAACCGUAAGAAUCGGCGCGUUCUUGGCAUCUGACGGUGGCGAAGGCUUGUUGUGUCGAUCUCUAAACUUGAUCGCGCUAAGAACGCACCGAUUCCUUAUUUCGUCGUUGCGUUCAAAUUCCCAAAAGCAACGGAAGCUAUUCUUGAAGGCUGUUCGUGCUACGAAAGCAACUUCUUCAACUUUUUCGAAAAAUACCCAUU
rnacentral:lncRNA from 1 species